rnacentral:rRNA from 1 species
GAUGAACGCUGGCGGCGUGCCUAAUACAUGCAAGUCGAGCGAAUGGAUUAAGAGCUUGCUCUUAUGAAGUUAGCGGCGGACGGGUGAGUAACACGUGGGUAACCUGCCCAUAAGACUGGGAUAACUCCGGGAAACCGGGGCUAAUACCGGAUAACAUUUUGAACCGCAUGGUUCGAAAUUGAAAGGCGGCUUCGGCUGUCACUUAUGGAUGGACCCGCGUCGCAUUAGCUAGUUGGUGGGGUAACGGGCCACCAAGGCAACGAUGCGUAGCCGACAUGAGAGGGUGAUCGGCCGCACUGGGACUGAGACCCGGCCCAGACUCCUACGGGAGGCAGCAGUAGGGAAUCUUACGCAAUGGACGAAAGUCUGACGGAGCAACGCCGCGUGAGUGAUGAAGGCUUUCGGGUCGUAAAACUCUGUUGUUAGGGAAGAACAAGUGCUAGUUGAAUAAGCUGGCACCUUGACGGUACCUAACCAGAAAGCCACGGCUAACUACGUGCCAGCCGCCGCAGUAA